GCGUACAUUCCGGGGCAGGCAGAGGCGGCCUCGAGAGGUCCAUCCGCGGGCCCCUGGUAGAACCCGUUUCCGAACGGAUUCGUGGCGGUCCCGGCCAAUAGGCCCGCUAAGCUGAUCACCAUCCCGUCAAGGCCCACGUCGUUGUUGGGCGCGAUGAGGGCCGGGUUUUGCGGACCGUAAAUAGGCUGGUGGAAGGGCCACGCGCAUUGGCCCGGGCACUGCGUCUCCGAGUUUCCGACCCAAAUGUAGGCAAACUUGUAAGUUUUUCCGUCGAUUUGAGCGCCCUUGGAGGACCCGUGGGUCCCGC
rnacentral:lncRNA from 1 species